rnacentral:rRNA from 1 species
GGGGGGGGGGGGGGGGGGGCUGGGGGGGUGCGGGGGGGGCGGGGGGGGCCGGCUGUUGGGGGGUGCUCGGGUUGCGGGCGGGUGCGUACCACGUGGGUCCCCUGCGCUUGACUUUGUGGUCACCUCCGGAAGCGUGACCUAGCACCGGAUCUGCGCUCCUUCUGCCUGGUGUUGCUUGUAACGUUUCCGCGGUUGGGGCUGUCCUCGCGGCUUAUCAGCUUGUUGGUGGGGUAGUGUCUUACCAAGGCCUUGACGGGUAGCCGGCCUGAGAGGGUGACCGGCCACAUUGGGACUGAGAUACGGCACAGACUCCUACGGGAGGCAGCAGUGGGGAAUAUUGCACAAUGGGCGGAAGCCUGAUGCAGCAACGCCGCGUGCGGGAUGACGGCCUUCGGGUUGUAAACCGCUUGCGCCUGUGACGAAGCGUGAGUGACGGUAAUGGGUAAAGAAGCACCGGCUAACUACGUG